rnacentral:rRNA from 1 species
UACGGAGGGGGCAAGCGUUGUUCGGAAUCAUUGGGCGUAAAGCGCGUGUAGGCGGCUUGGCAAGUCGGGUGUGAAAGCCCGGGGCUCAACCCCGGAACUGCAUUCGAAACUCCUGCGCUGGAGUUCGGGAGAGGAAGGUGGAAUUCCGGGUGUAGAGGUGAAAUUCGUAGAUAUCCGGAGGAACACCAGUGGCGAAGGCGGCCUACUGGACGGUAACUGACGCUGAGAUGAGAAAGCGUGGGGAGCAAACAGG